rnacentral:rRNA from 1 species
UGCGUAGGCGGUCUCUCAAGUCUGGCGUGAAAGCCCAAGGCUCAGCCUUGGAAGUGCGCUAGAAACUGAGAGGCUUGAGUGCCGGAGGGGAGAGUGGAAUUCCCGGUGUAGCGGUGAAAUGCGUAGAUAUCGGGAGGAAUACCGGUGGCGAAAGCGACUCUCUGGACGGCAACUGACGCUGAGGCACGAAAGCGUGGGGAGCAAACA